GGUGGCUCAGUGGCAGAGUGCUUGCCUCGGAUGCAUGAGACCCUGGGUUCAAUUCCUCAGCACCA
rnacentral:tRNA from 1 species